rnacentral:rRNA from 1 species
GAUGAACGCUGGCGGCGUGCCUAAUACACGCAAGUCGAGCGAACAGACGAGGAGCUUGCUCCUCUGACGUUAGCGGCGGACGGGUGAGUAACACGUGGAUAACCUACCUAUAAGACUGGGAUAACUUCGGGAAACCGGAGCUAAUACCGGAUAAUAUAUUGAACCGCAUGGUUCAAUAGUGAAAGACGGUUUUGCUGUCACUUAUAGAUGGAUCCGCGCCGCAUUAGCUAGUUGGUAAGGUAACGGCUUACCAAGGCAACGAUGCGUAGCCGACCUGAGAGGAUGAUCGGCCACACUGGAACUGAGACACGGUCCAGACUCCUACGGGAGGCAGCAGUAGGGAAUCUUCCGCAAUGGGCGAAAGCCUGACGGAGCAGCGCCGCGUGAGUGAUGAAGGUCUUCGGAUCGUAAAACUCUGUUAUUAGGGAAGAACAAAUGUGUAAGUAACUAUGCACGUCUUGACGGUACCUAAUCAGAAAGCCACGGCUAACUACGUG